UUUCUUUUUUUUGUCGUUAGUCGUUCGAGAGCCUGAGAAGGGAAGGGAGUGUCGAGAUAAGAUGGGUUCCGAGGUCUGUCUCAGGUGUCGGGUUGUCGCCGGGAUAAUGGACUCGGUAGAGCAGGUGUCGUGAGUCACUGAGACUCGCUGACGAUGCCGGGAAGUCACCGAGCAGAAGUCUCUGGGUCUAUGAUGGGAAGCCGGGUGUAGUGAGGCCUUGUGAAUUUGUCGAGGUGAGUAGUCGAUAGCGGGAUGGCCUUAAGUCGAGAAACUGUCAAUUUCAGGACCGCCUUGGGGUGAGAAGCUGGGACGCGGCGAACUCGCCUCGAGAGCCUGGUUUACGAAUUUGUAGUCUGUGGUUCAUGGAUGAGUGAUGGAGAUCGAGCCCAGAUUUGGGUGCCCAAAUAAGUUUAUGGGUUCACUAGCAGUCGGCGCGUGAGACACUUCCGGGCAGCGACGGCUAAAGGAGAGGUCAGGUUAGACUCGUCGGAGGUCUCUGAACCCAAUUAUGGUGGAGGUAAGGGGCGGUGGCGCCUCUAAAUCAUGGGUGGAGGAGAGAAUGAAAACUCAGAUCUACUUUCUCUCUCCUCUGUAAAUAGGAACCCAACUGCGUAAACUUGAAAACCCAGAAGAGAUAAGGUUUGAUUUGAUGCCAUGGAGGUGGAAAUCAAAGAGAGAAAUGAGAGAGGAGAGUUCUUUGAGAGUGAGCAGAGAGAGCUGCGUCACCGAAGAGGAAGAAACAAGGGUGGCUGGAAAAAAAAAUACGGCGAGAUAAUGGUUAGAGUACCCGUUUGGUAAGCGGGUUCGACUCUCAACGAACCCAGCAGCUGACUUCUCUUGUGUCUUCUUCGAUAUGUGAAUUUCCAUGGCUUCUCUUUUUUGUUGUACCUGCAUUUGAUAAGCACCACCCUUCACUUCCAGAACUUGAUGAGCACCCCUCUUCACCUCCAAAAGGCCAAUACUAUGUUGGAAACUUGGAAUACCUUUGCCCAUUGAAACUUAUCUUUUAUCUCUUCCUCCUGACGCCGCACCCCGACCUACACCUUCGCCAAAUCACGACUUCGCCGUUUAGCCACCAAAUCGGACGCCAUCAGUUCCGUAGGGUUCGCACGGCCACCCCUUCCACAUCUGGGGUGGUGUCGCACAAUACGUUGCACCGGAGAAGAAGCUUUUGGACGGAGAAGUAGCUGGGUUCGUGCCUAGCCGGAGUUCGCGUUUUUCGGUGGAAACUGAUCAAGCACCAUUGUACCCAGAUUUUAAGGCUAGAAGGUGGAUUGGACAGAUUGGAGUUUGUUCUUGGCAACGUCUGAUUUUGGGCAAUUCCGGCCGAUUCCGGCCAAAUUGGGUCAACCCUUAAGUGAUUCAGGGAGUUCAGCUUGUGCUCGGCUUCGUGUGGAGUAAGACAUAGCGAGACUGUGAGGUGAGUAAAACUCACUUUGUUCAUGAAGGAAGCAAUAUUUAAUUUAUAGUUCAUUCUUUCUAAAUUGUAAAAGAUUGCGGUUAUUGAGACCUCCAGAUUUACUCAGUGUACCUCCAUGUCUUUUACACAUUCAUUUUAUUUUUAAAAACAAGCAUUUGCUCAUUAAACCUCUUUUCAAAUUCCUAAAAUAACCUUAAGUUUGUUAUUCAUAUAUAUUUCAAUAAUUUACUCAUUAUACUUUUUAUUCGCUCUUCAGACCUCUCACACUUUAAUUUUUCUUUUUCUUUUUGCAUGCAAACAUCUAUUUUAGGUCUCGAUUGCUUCAUUUCUUUUUUCUUCUUCUCUUUUUUCAUGAAAACCUCUUUCGCAACCUUAAUCCCUUGUUGUUUUUUUUUUGCAUAGAAUGUCAUUAACCUCUAUUAUUUGAUCAAGUUGUAAGAACGAUUUUUCAAUGACAACAAUUGAAAAAAAAAUAUUCAAAUCAUGAAUUGCAAUUGCAACGCAAUAAAAUACACAAAUUCCAAUAUAUGAAACAUUAUUCCAAGCAUCUAUUAAUAAAAAAAUUCUCAACAUAACGAAAAAAUAUUCUAAUGAUCUUCAAGUGUGACAGUCUCGGAAACUGUAGUAACUCUUUCUAGAUGGGGUAUUUGAGUAUAGAGAUGCAAACGAUUAAUAUAUCUACUGUAUAAUGAUUUUGCUUUGUCAUCAGCAUGGCGGUAUCAAUUUGGUGGAACCGGUGGUAAUGGACAUCCUGCUACCAACGAUUCCUAUUAAAAAAAGCAUAUGAUUAGUUUAGACUUUAUAACUAAGCAAAUGCAUAAAGAUGUAAUGAUAGUACUUACUUGCACAAAGUGAUUUCCAUUAACAAAACCAAUACCAAGUUCAGGCAGUUCUUGAUUUUGAAAUCUUCCAAUGAUGUGUUCCAUCAAAGGAAGAAAGGUCAGGCACUGUCCAUCAGAUAAGUUUAUAACAACAACUCCGUAACAAGUAGCAAUCAGAUGCCCCAUAUCAGUUAUACACAUCAAUUUUCUACGUGAUGCAGUGGAUCCAGAAUGGUGAAUUCUUUGUUUGAUUUUCUCAACACCGUCUUCGCUGCCGUAUAGUUCCCUGUACAAGUGAGGCAUACUUUUGAGCUCAUUCAUUAGGUCAAGUCGCACCCUUCUCUAAGAACGCCUACCGAAUCCCAUAAUGGAUGCUGCAACUCUAUAACCACAAUUACCAUCAUCUUCAACAUCAAAUGAACCUAAGAUGUAGGGCCUCAUGCCAAAAAUGAAUUGUGAUGUAUACUUUUGUGUUAACUCAAAUCGUGAAGUGUUUUGACUCAUGGAGAUAGGCUGCACAAAAAUCAAUAUGUAUUAGCUAUUUCAGUUGCAAUUAAAACUUUUACUAACUUAUCAUAUAUCACAAUUGAAAGACAUACUGGAUUUGUCUCUGGAUGCUUGUCUGAUUUUGCUGAAGACAAUACAACCGUAGGAGAAGCAUUAACCUUUUCUGAUAGUACUUAUGACUGAUUUUGAAUGAGACUAGCUUUAGCAAUCUCAAAAACAAAUGGUAGACGAUGAGUGCUACUGUCAAUCUUAGGACGCCCUUUGGUUUUAAUCUUCUCACUUGGUUGUUGAAGCAUUGUCGAACUUGGAGUUAUAAUCUCGUCUAUUUUCAACAAGACCUGUCUAUUUUCAACAAGACAUGUCUCCUCACGUUUUGUAUCGUUAACUUGAAGAAAAAAAAAGGAAGAAUACUAAUCUGAUUAUAAUUUAUUUUAUUUUUUUGGUGAAAUUCAAUGUCUAUUACUGUCAUUUUGUAUGAGGUUAUAUUUGUAAUUCAAUAAGUCAAAACAUGUGGAGGUACACUGAGCAAAUCUGGAGGUCCCAAUAGCCGCACUCUAUCAUUUUCUAGGAAAUGAAGUUUUGUUUUAAAAAUAAAUGAAUUUGAUCGACUACGGUUCAUGGGUAAGUAAAAUGAUUUUCUUUUAAAAACGAUUUUUAAGAGGUUUGCGAAUAUGAACUGUAAAUGGUAAUAUUGGUGAUUAUGGGCGAAUGCCUAUUAUGUGUAUAUUUGUGCCUGGUGAAAUAUGUGCCUUGCUUAAUGUGAUAUUGUGUGAGGAGUGAUGAUGGUUUGAUUUAUCUUUGGUUAUUGUGCGAAGAAUUGUUGGGUUGAAAUAUCAUAUAUCAUAUGUUGAUUGAUAUAUUAUUGUAUGGUUUGAGUCGAGUUGGAAUUCAUGUGUAACUUGGUGAUUGUUCCUGUGUGGCGGUUUUGAUCUUCCUUAGUGGCGAAAAGAUCUUUUCCUGUGUGACUGUUUAGAUCUUCCUUAGUGACGAAAAGAUUUUUCCCGGUUAGGAUGAAUUAGUUAGAGAUCUAGUCUGUCGUCGUGUGGCGUAUGGAGGAUGACAUUGGGUCAUUGUGCUCAUGUGUGUGUCCUUUAAAUUAGAACGAGAGUCUAUAUGCUUUUCUUCUAGUGUUAUUGGCCAAGAGACAUGAUUUUCUGGAGUUUAAAGUUGUGAGUUUACAAGAAUGAUUUUUGAUUUGAUUUUGAGUUGUCGGGUUUUCUUAUUUAUUUUCAUUGAACUCUCUUGGUUUUAGAACUAAGUUUUCAACGCAGGAUUUUCUGAUUUUCCCUUGAGUGAUUAUAUUUUUAGUUGUAUGUAUUCCAGUUUAAAUGUUGUUUUUUAUUAUUUCUCAACUUGUGGAAGUUAUGUGUAAUUGUUGUACGAGUCAUUUCAAUUUGAUUUACUCAUACGAGCUUUAAGCUAACCGGGUUUGUUGUUUUACAACCCGGUGCACAAACCAAUGGUGUAGUCGGUUAUUCCUACAUGUCAUGAUGAGCAGGAUUCAGUCAGAUUAUUAUGGGCAGAUUUAUUAGGUGAAAGAGUUGUGGUUAUUAUUUUGUUGGUUUGUAUAUGCUUUAGAGAGCGUUACAUUUUAUUUGAAUUAUCAAGUUUAAGUGAAACGAAAACAUGUAAUAUUUGACUCAAGGUAUGAGUCUAUUUUGACAUUUGAAAGUUGUUGGUCCUUGAGUUUAGUUGUUUGAGCUAAUGACAUGUAUUUUUUUGGGGUUAUUUAAGGGGUUAUUAUCAUGUCUCAUGCAACAAAAAUACACUUUUCGUCGCAUAAGGCUUUUCAUUGAGGCUAGUUUUAUUUGCUUUUUCCUUAUCCUCCUUGUUUCACUAUCAUCAUCAUCAUCAUCAUCUAUAGAAACAAAACUAUUAAACUGCAAAUUUAGCAAACAAUAAAUUUUCAUAUAUGCAUAAUUUGUUCAUACAUAGUCUUUACUCUUUAGUAACACCUUGAAUUGCAACUAAACAAAACCAUUCAUUCAUCCUAGCUUAGCUAGCCUAUCCUUCUCCAACUGAACAAAACCAACUGCACAAACCUUAAAGGCUUCUCCAUCUAGCUAGCCUACCCUUCUCCAACUAAAGAAAACCAACUGCACAACAACCUAACCUUAAAGGCUUCUCUAUCUAAACAAAACCAAUUGCACAAACCUUAAAGGCUUCUCCAUCUAGCUAGCCUACCCUUCUCCAACUAAAGAAAACCAACUACACAACAACCUAACCUUAAAGGCUUCUCCAUCUAAACAAAACCAACUGCACAACAACCUAAUUAACCAAAGGCUUCUCCAUCUAAACAACCAAAAUAUCCAAGCAUGCAGUGAUGUACCUAGCUAGUUCCUCUCAGCUGCAUUAACAUUUUCUUCUAGAGGUUGUUGGGAAGGGACUGGUGGAGGACACCCAGUCUGCUGUGCCAUAAAAGACAUCACCGCUGCUAGUUGCUGCUUCACCAAUGUCAUCUUUUCACUAACGUUUUGCGCAACCGCCUCAGCUUUUUCGGCCAUCUCCUCAGUAAUAUGUAAUCUCUCAUCCACCUCAUGAACUCGAGAAUGUGGAAUGGAAGAUAAUGACUGUCGGACACCUGCUCUUCCAAGACCACGGAUCUCUUUCUCGGCUCUUCUGCCGACUCCUGCUUCAAGCACCUUAAGAUUCAUUGACCACUCCAAAGGUGGGAGCUCAGCCUCCGGGAUGUCAGGGUUUGCAUUCUUCUGUGCAUUUUUCAAUUCAGUGGCCUCUUUCUGCAUUUCCUUUUGCAGAUAAGAGAUAAGAGAUAAGCUUGUAAUUAGAUUUGGAAUUUAAAUUCAUAUUGCAGUUGAAAAGCAGUUAAGGGUUUGAUAAGCAGUGAAAGAAAAUAAGUUGGAGAAUGAUGGAACUGUUAUGAAUCUGCUACAUAUUGCAAGCAUGUAAAUAUACUAAAUGAAGAAUUGAACUUAGAAACAACAAUGUUUUGCAGAACAUAACAAUAGUGCUUGUGUUAUGAAACUUAGCAGGAUAUACAGCUUCAUCUAAAAGGGAAGCAACUAGCUGAUCUACUUAAUCAUCAUCGCUUUGAAUCUAUCAAAUUCUCACAUGCAUGCAUGAUUUGUUAGAGUGAUCCAAAUGCGUGGGAGUAGCUGAAUGAGUGUUUGUUAACUUGGGAAUUUGGGGAGCUGGAGUUGAAGCUAGUUGCCUCCCCUUGAGAGAGAAAUGGAAACUUAAGCCCUCGUAAAGUUUAGAAACCAUUUUCCUGAUCAAUGCAGAGAAGAAUCUUUCUAGCUAGAAGAGGAUCAAUAAUAUUAUUAUUCACAUAUAUAUGCAUCAUAUUUCAUGGCAGGACUACUAGACAAGACUGUCAAUAAGAGUAUGGCUUGAGAUAUUGGUUGAGGUGAGCAUAUAUUCCUCUCUUUACUAGUUUACUUUACUAGUGAUAUGAAACUUAGCAUAACAAAGUCACAUUCACAAUACGAAACACAAAUGCCUCUGCACCAACUGAAAAUUAUUUAAUUGCACAAACUGAAAAUUAUUUGCACAAUAUAUGUAAGCUAUUUGCACCAGAUUUAAUUAACUUACAAGAUUCUUGACAGCUUUAGGGUCGUUGACUGUGUCAUACGUCUCUGUGUAAGUUGGGAUAACAGGAAAUUUCUCACCAUUCUCUUUGUGGUGGACCACCCUGUAGAUGAUAGGUAGCUGCCCCGUGUGGUGCUCCGACUCCUUCUUACCACAGUUGGUUUUGUUAGCCACCAAUCGUGUCUGCCAAUCACAUAGUAUGUAGUUCAUAUUAAUGGCAGUUUCUCUUGGCCAUUAACAAUGCCAUUAACAAUAGAUAUUAGGAAAUAAAGCAAUUGAGCUAAGGAAAAAUAAUUAUGCUAUUGGAUUAAAGUGAGCAAUAUAACCCCACAUAACAAGCAUAGUUGUGUUGUGGAUUACAAGCUGAUAAGUUGAGCAGUAUCAAUGCAAGCAAUCAAAGCUAAAGCAGUCAGGUCGAGAUAACAAUAGUAACAUUUUAUUAGUUUUUGAGAGAUCCUUUUUGGCAAGACCUAUAUCCAAUUCUAUACAUACAUCCAAUACAGAGAGGACAGACUUAUCACAAAGAAUUGUAAAAACUAGCAAAUAAUCAGAUAAAGGGAAUUUCUAGGCAGUUUUCAAAUCAACCAAACAACUUUGAUACCAAUAGUCGUCGAACUGAUAGUUAACUGAAGAAAAAGAAAAGGAGGACAAAUUAUAAGCUUGGUCUUGGUACCACUAACAGAAAAAUUUUGUUCUUCUACAAUGACAUUGGCUAUGGAAAAAGUUUCCAAUAGCACAAGCUUGGAAUAUCGAACAACUUGCUUGUUGAUAAGGAAGAUGCAUCAAAUGGCACGAAGAAAAUAACUAGAGAAGGUACCAACAUAUUGCAUGCCAAAGUGAUCAAUCAGUAGUCAAGCAGCUCGAAGAAAAAUCAUUUUACAGAGGCUCCACCAAACACUUAGGCAUAAUUGAGAAUUAGAGAACUGGGAAACAAUUCAGAAACUUAUGGAGACCAUUAGAUCAUAAAUCAAGCACAGGCAUAAAUAAAACUAAUUAAACACACAAACUCUCAUGCGUAUGCACUGAAACAAAACAAACACCAAAGAAUAGAGAAUAUAUAUGCACAGCACCAAAGUAGGAACAGAGAGAAGAGAACAACUACAACAAAUAUUCAAUCAGAAUUCAAUUCACAUGACAAAACCUAUGGGGAAUAAGCACUCCGUCUAUUUUGGCAUACUCAAGCCUUGAUCUACAAUUUAAUCAUAACUGUAUCUUAACUCUUAAGACAGUAAAAUGUUGUAACAAACAAGAAGAAAAGAUAUGGAAAUGCAGAUAUGGACAUUAUAAAAAGGGGGAUUUUCAUAUACACUCAAUUUUGAAGAGUGGUUUUAAAUAAAACCCACCUAAUAUUUCUAUUUAAUAGACAUCUAAAAUGUAUCAAUUAUGAUACAUAUUAUGUCUUAUUUUUUCUAAAUUUUACACAAUUGCCACCAUUCAACUAUAACAUAUAAACAUAAUAAAUAAGUUUAAUUGAUGCUGUCUUAAAUACCUUCAUUAUGAGUUUUUCUUCUAACACUAAAAUUUUUCAAUCAAUUUACAAGAAUCAUGUAGUUUUUAUUUUUUAUGAAAAAAUCUAGGUGAAAUGAAUUCAUUAUCUGAUCUAUAAAUAAGGUAGAAUAUAAUAUAAAUAAGAUAUUUGAUUAUUAUAGUAAAAUGAAGAAAUUUUACAUUGUUAGCGUAUGAACAUGUGAAAUCUGACGUGAUCCUCUAUUCUAUUCAAAUUUUGACAUGUGGAUUUCUAUGAUGAAAAACCAUUUUAGCUAUUUUGAUCUUUAAACCCUAAACCCUAAACCCUAUACCCUAAACCCAAUACCCUAUACCCUAUACCCUAACCCUAUACCCUAACCCUAUACCUUAACCCUAUACCCUAAACCCAAUUUUGGGUUUCUUCAUUUUAGCUAUAUUAUCAUAUCAUGCCCUACUUAAUAGGUACAUUAGAAAUGUAUGUAGUUGAGAGUAAAAUGUUCUCUCGAUCAAGAUUGGAAAUGAUAUAAUAAUAUACCUAAAAAGAAGAAAAUUAAUCAAAGAACAAGAACGUGUACCUUACAAUUAGACAUUUUUCGACUAUGUAGAGAGACACCAAAUGUGAGCUUAUGUCACAUCCCGACCCUUAUAUUUUUACCUUAUUUACUAGCUUGAUUAUAAUAAGAAUUUUAUAAUCAUUGAGUUAAUGGUUUAAUUGGUCCCUAGAGGGGUUUUGAGGGAUGAUUAUUUCGGAGAAUUAUUCGUGGAAAAAAAAAAAAUUUGACGACGGUAAAAAUGGUAAAUUUUAGCUAGUAAAAGGUAAUUUUUAUUCGGGUAUUAUUUUUUUCGGGGUGUUUUAUUUUGGAUUUGGGUUGUAUAAGAGUGUUGGACCGGGCCAAGAGGUGGUCAAAGCCCAGCCCUCUCUUUUCCCUUUCUCUUCUCUCCCUCCCGGCCUCAUUCCCGAGCUCUCCCGACCUGGAAACUUUCCGGCCGCCGUCCGCCGCCGUCCGGCCGAGAUAGGAGGCGUGCUUGGUGUUGAUUUGAAGCUUGGAGCAUCCUCUACAAGUUUAGAUAGGUGGCAGCCCGUGUCGCGCCACCGUGAAGGAGAAAUCAUGCCGAAAAGCCGCUGCUGUGCGUGGCGGGGUUUUCGCCGGAAAAUCCCUUUUCCGGCCACCAUAGCCGGAGCUGUUGGUAUCAUUUGGACGCUCUCUCUUCCAGCAGCAAACCCCUAAAAGGAUUCAUCCUAACUUGAGCUAAGUAAGGAGAAUCGGGUGUUUGAAUUUCCUAGGGUUUUCUUGAUAUGUUUGGUUUCGAUUGCCCUAUUUAGGCUUGAAUUUGGACUUAGUGAUAGUUAUGAAAGUUGUUUGGGAUGUUGAGAGGAAGAUGCUGUUAAAUUUUCAUAGGAAUUGGAGGUCGCCGGAAUUGGCCUCCGGCCGCCGCUGUUUGGAAGAUUUUUAGGGUUUUAAAUUUAGAAUAUUAAGGGGAGUUUGUUGAAGUGAGUUAUGGAAUUUUUGGAUGAGUUUUGGAUAGGUUUAUGAAUUUCUGAAGUGUGGUUUUUGGCGGUUAAUUAAUGUAGAAUCCGGCCGUAGGAUUUAAGUCGUAUUUUUGGGGAGGUUGUAAUUACGGCUGCUGAGUAUGAUAUUUAAGUUCGGAUCGUUUCGAUUUAAGAAUAUCGAAGUUAGGCAAUGAUGAGCGUAGUUAUGGCUCUCGGUUAAUUUUGCAUAUUUUGUUUAAAUAUUGGAGUUUUAGUUGGGAAAUUAAUUUUAUAUUUGUGCCAGGGUUCGAGGAACCUCUCUGGAGUGGCGAUUUGGAUUUUGUCGGGCUUAUGCCUAGAGUUGUGAGUGGACGUUUAUUUUAAAUAAAUGCAUGCUAUAGUUCAUGGUUGAACAAUUAAUGUUGCGGAAUAUUUUAACGUCAUUUUAAUUUGACGAUUUUUAUUUUCUCUUGGAGAGUUACCAAAAAUGGGAUUUUCGAUGGAUAUAAAUAUGUAUUUAUGAGAGAGUAUGUAUAUAAAUGCUAGCUAGCCCUAUGUGUCUGUCCACCUUAAUGGCGUAGCAUAUAGCCGCAUUAUGGUGUGACGUGAGCGUUGGACGCGAGCGUAGUAGCCCUAUAUGAGUGUCUAAUUCAUAUAGGGGGUAUGGACACAUAUUUAUACACCCGUCUGUCCACCUUAAUGGCGUAGUGUAGCACCGCAUUAAGGCGUGACGUGAGCGUUGGACGCGAGUGUAGUAGCCCUACAUAGACCCAUGAAUUUAUAUAGGGAGUAUGGACGUGUGUAAAUACAUACAUAUAUUAUAGAGCCUGAGAGGCUCGACAUUUAUGAGAUAAAAGUUUUAUCGCUUGCAGCAUGCAUUCGAUUUUUCUUGGAAAUUGAUUUAGGGAAACAUAAAUAUUUUUAUUCGUUAGUUUGUUUUUGUCCACUCACUCUAACGUGUUUCAAAUGUUUUCCUCUGGGCUCUUCGUUUUAAAAAUGCCCAGUUUGCAGGAUUGCAUAGUUGAGGUCGGGCGUACAUGGGGAUGAGGCAUAGUCAUCAUAUAGCUUCCGCUUGUUAAUUUGUUAUGUUUCCUUUCUUCCUGUUAGAGUUGCUCUGAACCUAUAAAUGGUUGGAUAUGAGAUUUGUUUAGAUUAGUAAAUAAUUUGGGUGGUGUUGUGAUUUGGGGAGCACGGAGGCUCCAGGAGUUUAAGGUUGGAUUUAAAUUUUCAGAAGUGUUUGCAGGUAUUAUUAGGAAGGGUUGUCCAUUUUCAAGGGAGGUUAUGCCGAUUUUUCGGUAAAUUUUCCUUGGAGGUGGUCCCCGCUCGACUUACUCUGGGUUUCAGGGUGAAAUUUGGGGUGGGUCGUGUCAGCUUAUGAAUGAAAAAAAUCAUUCUAUUACAAAUGACAUACUUUUGUAUAUAACAUAUAUAUACACUUAAGUUAGUAAUAACAAGGUAAGAAAUUAAAGAAUGUAAUUGAUUAUGACAAAGUUAAAUCAAACUAAAUUUUAGCUCAGUAUUUGAGUUUCAAAUUGAUGCUAAAAUUGAGAAAGAUACCAAAUUUAGAUUUCUACUGUCUGAAGGGCAAAUCAGAGAAACCGAAAAAUGAAUAAAACUAUUAAUUAUAGACAUUUGCUCUGUAUGGUAAGUUUGCUUAUGUGGAGUGGGUGUAAAAUGAAAGAAAAAUAUGCAUGGGUUUAUCUUAAAAGAGGUCUAGUAUUUUGAAUUUUUAUCUAAUUUUCUCUUAUAAAAAUUAUGCAUAUAUCAGAAAACACAUUCAGUAAUCACAAGACAAUCUAAUUCAAUUCUGCCUCAACCUUUAUGUUAAAUUUGAUUGUUGCAUAUAAGAAUUGAGAUCGUAUGUCCUGGAUCCCGAUCAGAGGGAGUCCAUUCCCUUUUUUGGUUUCCACAGUAUUUUAUCCUUGACAACUAAACACGUAAUAAGAUGAGAAAUCCUUGACAACUAAUGCCAAUCCUAUAUAUAUUUUCCUUUAAAGUGCAUUUAUUAUUACUUUUACUCGAAUUGUGACUACAUAGUAAAUUGAUACACAUAAUCUUUGACACAACAAGAUAUUUGACAACCUCAGCUAAUUGUAUAGUAGAGUUUCAAAACUGAAACUUGGUAAAGGGAAUGCUAAUCUCAAUGACAUCUCACUCUAUGUAUUUUGUAUUCAUCAACAAAACACCUGGGAAGGGUUAAAGCUGUUCUGACCAUCCUGCACCUAAGCCAAAAAAAAAAAAUAUGGAGAAGAAACAAACACACCGAAAAAUGGUUUGAUACCCAUAUUUCGACUCUAACUACAUGGAACAAUGCAAGUCAACAGAGGCACAAAAUUUAAAUGCAUUAAAACAAAUUGAUCAUCCAACCAAGUGAAAACAAAGCAUAACAAGGAAACAACAAAGAAUACAUACAUGAAGAAGUAAAUGGAAUUUAUCAUGAACGUAUUAGUAGCAACAUGAGAGUUGGGAUAUCCCAGGAUUCCAGGAACCUUACUAAAGUCAGAAAUGACUGUUAGAAUAGAGUAUCAAAACCACAAUUUAGAAAAGAGAAUGCUAAUAUUCUUUUAUUGUUCAUGUGAAUUGGUAUCAAUUUGAUAGCACUUUUGCUGUUCAAGAAGAGUUUCUUAUAUAUAUAUAUUUAAGUUGUUGCUCACUUGCUCCAGUAGGUUACAUUUAGUAGAUAUUUGAAUAAGCACCAAUAAAUAGGAACAACUCCCACCAUUAUCCAAAUUGAAAUAUUCUAGCCAUAUAAAUAUCAAAGUGGCAGCAACAUUAAAUUUACCUUGAAAUCAGGCGACUCAAAAUGCCAGCAAAACCAGUCCCACUCAUCUUGCUUGUGUAUCAAAUCAAACGGAAUUGUUUCUCUCCCAUACUUCUUAUAGUGUCUUGAAAGGUUCCCUUUCCAAUUUCGAUAUAUGGUACCCGCCUUAUCUUCAAGCCACGCCCACAUCCGUUUAUCCCCAAAGUCAAUUUUAAAAUACGGCUACAACACAAACAACUCCUCAUCAUACUACAAAUUGAAAUAAUGAAGAAGCUAAACAGUCUGAAAAAUAAUGGCUAAAUUGCUUCACAGAUGACCAGCUGCAUUAAUAAAAUUUAAACAGU
rnacentral:lncRNA from 1 species